rnacentral:rRNA from 1 species
UUGGAUAGGUUUCAAAAGAGGCGUGAGAAGAUGGGUGACAAUAGCUAUGACCUUCUAGUCAUUGAGGAUUUUGAUUGGGGCAAUGAGUGGGUUGACCCAACAAUAUCUCCACCCCAAGGUGCUCGAGGGUGUCCCGAUGACAUUUCAUGGGAGCUUGUUGAUGAGGCUGUUGGUGCAAGUUCGUCGCUGCAAGGUCGCAACUUUCCUAGAGCUAGCACCAUGGCAAGGGGGGCCUCAAAUGUUAAUGUCCAGUACCAAAGGCAGCGCAAAAGGGCUGCUCCGUCACCAACAUUUCUUCAUGAAGAUGACGAAGAGGAUGACCAAGAACAACAAUCAAGUAUCCCCAAUGGAGAGGAUGAUGAUUCAGACUUUCUUCAAGAUGAUGUUGAUGUGACCGAUGAUGAUGAAGAUCCAACUAGUGCUGACCAAGAUGGCGAAGACAACACAAAUGCUACCAUGGAUGAGUUCGAUGAUGGCUAUUGA